GGCUUGGUGGUGGAAUGGUUAACACGCCUGCUUAAUCUAUGGUGGUAGAAAAAUUGUUGCAGGAGAUCCUUGUUCGAAUCAAGGCUAGGCCA